AGUGUACCCCUUUCGUCCGGAAUUACUUGUCGCCGAAAUAAAUGUAUCUAGACAUAUUUUAAUUCUUGAUAUAUUCAUUUUUAUCCAUAUCUACGACAAGUAAUUCAUGACGGAGGGAGUACCAG
rfam:Triticum aestivum genome assembly, contig: Triticum_aestivum_CS42_TGACv1_scaffold_642194_T_3DL-0.318658_5DL-0.180464